rnacentral:rRNA from 1 species
UACAGAGGGUGCGAGCGUUAAUCGGAAUCAUUGGGCGUAAAGCGCACGUAGGCGGCCCAGAAAGUCGGGUGUGAAAGCCCUCGGCUUAACCGAGGAAGUGCAUUCGAAACUACUGAGCUUGAAUACUGGAGAGGAUCGCGGAAUUCCCGGUGUAGAGGUGAAAUUCGUAGAUAUCGGGAGGAACACCAGUGGCGAAGGCGGCGAUCUGGACAGAUAUUGACGCUGAGGUGCGAAAGCGUGGGGAGCAAACAGG